rnacentral:rRNA from 1 species
ACGGGAGGCAGCAGUGGGGAAUAUUGGACAAUGGGCGGAAGCCUGAUCCAGCAACGCCGCGUGAGGGAUGACGGCCUUCGGGUUGUAAACCUCUUUCAGCAGGGACGAAGCGGAAGUGACGGUACCUGCAGAAGAAGCACCGGCCAACUACGUGCCAGCAGCCGCGGUAAUACGUAGGGUGCGAGCGUUGUCCGGAAUUACUGGGCGUAAAGAGCUCGUAGGUGGUUUGUCGCGUCGUCUGUGAAAUUCCGGGGCUUAACUCCGGGCGUGCAGGCGAUACGGGCAUAACUUGAGUGCUGUAGGGGAGACUGGAAUUCCUGGUGUAGCGGUGAAAUGCGCAGAUAUCAGGAGGAACACCGGUGGCGAAGGCGGUUCUCUGGGCAUUACCUGACGCUGAGAAGCGAAAGCGUGGGGAGCAAACAGGCUUAGAU